GUGAACGCUGGCGGUAGGCCUCACACCUGCAAGUCGAACGGCAGCACAGUAAGAGCUUGCUCUUACGGGUGGCGAGUGGCGGACGGGUGAGGAAUACAUCGGAAUCUACUUUUUCGUGGGGGAUAACGUAGGGAAACUUACGCUAAUACCGCAUACGACCUACGGGUGAAAGCAGGGGAUCUUCGGACCUUGCGCGAUUGAAUGAGCCGAUGUCGGAUUAGCUAGUUGGCGGGAUAAAGGCCCACCAAGGCGACGAUCCGUAGCUGGUCUGAGAGGAUGAUCAGCCACACUGGAACUGAGACACGGUCCAGACUCCUACGGGAGGCAGCAGUGGGGAAUAUUGGACAAUGGGCGCAAGCCUGAACCAGCCAUACCGCGUGGGUGAAGAAGGCCUUCGGGUUGUAAAGCCCUUUUGUUGGGAAAGAAAAGCAGCAGGUUAAUACCCCGCUGUUCUGACGGUACCCAAAGAAUAAGCACCGGCUAACUUCGUG
rnacentral:rRNA from 1 species